rnacentral:rRNA from 1 species
UACGUAGGGUGCAAGCGUUAAUCGGAAUUACUGGGCGUAAAGCGUGCGCAGGCGGCUAUGCAAGACAGAUGUGAAAUCCCCGGGCUCAACCUGGGAACUGCAUUUGUGACUGCAUGGCUAGAGUUCGGCAGAGGGAAGCGGAAUUUCCGGUGUAGCGGUGAAAUGCGUAGAUAUCGGAAGGAACAUCAGUGGCGAAAGCGGCUUCCUGGACCAGAACUGACGAUCAGGCUCGAAAGCGUGGGGAGCAAACAGG